UACGGAGGGAGCUAGCGUUGUUCGGAAUUACUGGGCGUAAAGCGCGCGUAGGCGGUUAUUCAAGUCAGAGGUGAAAGCCCGGGGCUCAACCCCGGAACGGCCUUUGAAACUAGAUAACUAGAAUCUUGGAGAGGUCAGUGGAAUUCCGAGUGUAGAGGUGAAAUUCGUAGAUAUUCGGAAGAACACCAGUGGCGAAGGCGACUGACUGGACAAGUAUCGACGCUGAGGUACGAAAGCGUAGGGAGCAAACAGG
rnacentral:rRNA from 1 species